GAGGAGUAAGAUCAUGGAGGAAGAAAUGUGAAAGGCUUUCUUUGACUACUGUUGUACAGGCUGUGCCUAACCUUCUGUUAGGAGUGAUUGUAGUUAUAGUUACCCAAAGUGUUUUUUUCUAACUGGGGGAGACCUAUACAGCCCAAAUGCUGUUUUGGUAGACAAAGUAAGAAAAUAUUUGGCUGUGUUUCAUAUAGCAAACACCGUUGCCAGUCUAAAAUCCAGGAUUUCUCUAGAGAAAAGAAACUAAACAUUUACUGAUGCUGAUUAUUUUCUGAAAAGAUUUAAGAAAUCUGUUUAUACAUGGGCUGGCGGUGUUAUCAUUUUGUCUGAUGUCUGAGAAGAAGCACAAUUUCUUUCUUUGCUUACUCAGAUAUGAAGGUCUGAAAGGUAAACACAGAAGGCACAACACAGCCUGAUCCCAUCAGUCAGAAGAUGUAUAAAUAAAGUACAGAGUUUAAAGAAAAAUAAAAAAGAAAAAGAAAUUGUUUUUUUGUAAAGAAACAACAGGAACAGCCUGACUUUGAUAAUGUUUUGACACUUGAAGUAUCCAACCAGUGUGAAAUCCUAGUCAGUAUCAACACAAUGGAUCACUAAUCAGUGCAGACUGAAGAAGUCCAGGAAAGCACUCGAGAGCAGCAGGUACAUGCCCUGUUGGAAGCAAUUGGAGAAGCAAAUUGAAGCAAAUGCAGAAGACUCAGCUGUUGGGUAAAUUGAAGACAAUCCUUCUACAGGCCUAAUCCUAAGCUUUAGGUGAAUGCAAAGAAAGAAAGGCUGUGAGGAUCAAACAAAGUUAACUGUAUGAAUGAAGUAAUCUUAUGCUCUUCUUAAACAAAGAGUGCUCUGAAGGGUAUUUCUUCAGGCUACAGCUAUUCUUGCUGUCAGUAUGAGCUGGUUGUCAUUGCUAAAGACUCUGGAAUAUAAGUAAUGUUCAUGCCCAUGUUGAAGACUUGUAGACUUCUCUGGAUACCUGUAUAAUUGCAAAGCUCUUCUGUGUUGUUCUAAUAACCAGUUAGAGACUCCUUACCUCAUGAAAUUAUGUACUCACUGUGAUCUUUAAAUUGAAAAUGUUUUAACAGACUAAUCUUUUAAGACUGACUUUUCUUUGUGUUGUCUUUUUUCUUUAAUGCUGUACUGGGAAAACUAUGUUUUAUUACCCUGGUGUGUAACUUUCUAAACAGCAUAUUAAUAGGACAAAUGCCAAUAAGCUAGAAUGUUACACAAACAAGGAUGCUGUAAAUUAUGUGUGGACUAUUUACAUUAAAACUUCACUUUGAGA
rnacentral:lncRNA from 7 species